rnacentral:rRNA from 1 species
ACUCCUACGGGAGGCAGCAGUCGGGAAUAUUGCCCAAUGGACGCAAGUCUGAGGCAGCAACGCCGCGUGCGCGAUGAAGGCCUUCGGGUUGUAAACCUCUUUCAGCAGGGACGAAGCGAGAGUGACGGUACCUGCAGAAGAAGCACCGGCUAACUACGUGCCAGCAGCCGCGGUAAU